rnacentral:rRNA from 1 species
GAUGAACGCUGGCGGCGUGCCUAAUACAUGCAAGUCGAGCGAACGGACGAGAAGCUUGCUUCUCUGAUGUUAGCGGCGGACGGGUGAGUAACACGUGGAUAACCUACCUAUAAGACUGGGAUAACUUCGGGAAACCGGAGCUAAUACCGGAUAAUAUUUUGAACCGCAUGGUUCAAAAGUGAAAGACGGUCUUGCUGUCACUUAUAGCUGGAUCCGCGCUGCAUUAGCUAGUUGGUAAGGUAACGGCUUACCAAGGCAACGAUGCAUAGCCGAGCUGAGGGGGUGAUCGGCCACACUGGAACUGAGACACGGUCCAGACUCCUACGGGAGGCAGCAGUAGGGAAUCUUCCGCAAUGGGCGAAAGCCUGACGGAGCAACGCCGCGUGAGUGAUGAAGGUCUUCGGAUCGUAAAACUCUGUUAUGAGGGAAGAACAUAUGUGUAAGUAACUGUGCACAUCUUGACGGUACCUAAUCAGAAAGCCACGGCUAACUACGUG